rnacentral:rRNA from 1 species
AUGGCGUUUCUUGCUCGGUCAAAGCCUAUGCUUUCGCUCAGCAAAGUAUCAGGAUCAGUCACUGCAGGUCUAGCAAAUUGCAGAACAAAAGAUGAGAUCAUAUUCCGUCCAAACCACAUGGCACACCCACCAAUUCCAACAUAUACUGCAAAGAACAAGCCCACCAGGCCAACAGACAGAAACACAUGGAUGAGGAGUACAGAUAACAAACAUGGCUUGAUCUGCAACCACAGGAAGGCAGGAGGAAAAACCACAAUCAAUGCUAUAGGAAAAAGGCAACCAAGACAACAGAAGUUUCUUCAGGAGAUAACACAGCAUAAGGGUUUAGAAGAUCUUCAAACAGAUAACUCCGCAUCAGGAGCGUCCAGCAUGCGACACGUGGUGAUGACUGGAUGCACCACUUGUGUGUUCCCUAAUCAGCUUUUCAAGGGUACUUUACAAAGAAGUUGGUUUGUGCGAAAUGAACUUGUGCACGACAAGCCAGCGCCACCAUUGGAGGUGUCGAUGUCUCUCCCGUGGAUCCCACCUAGUCCUGGGUGGGUCAAAUUGAACACUGAUGGCUCUUUUGCUACAGAUGGAACGACGGGUGCAGGUAUGGUUCUAAGGGGUGCCGAUGGAUCCAUCAUUUUCUCAGCUUGUAGGGAGCUGAGAUCUUGUCGGGAUAUGCUCGAGGCGGAACUUUGUGCGUGUAUGGAAGGACUCUCGUUUGCCAUCCAGAGAAGUGACCUCCCAAUUGUGACUGAGAUGGAUUCGUUGGUGGCAGUUUCUAUGAUUCAAGAUCGUGAACUUGAUAGAUCUGUUUAUUCCUCGCUUGUGAUGGAAAUUAGACAUCUUAGAGGUCUUCAACGUACUUGUAUUACUCAUAUUAACCGUUCGUAG